AUACGUAGGGAGCGAGCGUUGUCCGGAAUUACUGGGCGUAAAGAGCUCGUAGGUGGUUUGUCGCGUCGUCUGUGAAAUUCCGGGGCUUAACUCCGGGCGUGCAGGCGAUACGGGCAUAACUUGAGUACUGUAGGGGAGACUGGAAUUCCUGGUGUAGCGGUGAAAUGCGCAGAUAUCAGGAGGAACACCGGUGGCGAAGGCGGGUCUCUGGGCAGUAACGGACGCUGAGGAGCGAAAGCAUGGGUAGCGAACAGGAUUAGAUCCCCUGGUAGUCCAUGCCGUAAACGGUGGGCGCUAGGUGUAGGGGUCUUCCACGACUUCUGUGCCGUAGCUAACGCAUUAAGCGCCCCGCCUGGGGAGUACGGCCGCAAGGCUAAAACUCAAAUGAAUUGACGGGG
rnacentral:rRNA from 1 species